GAAGUAUUUAGCAGCAACGACAAUAAACUCCACAUACCGUCAUGCCUUGCGCGCCUACGUCGGCUGAGAGCAGCAUGUGCUCCGCUGCUGGGCUUUCACUAUGGCUCAGUGCGGCUCAGGCUCUUCACGGGGGCGCUUCGUGCGAGACGCCAGUCGGAUCUGCAGCGGAGACCAUCGCUGCACUGGACCAUGAGGAGGAAACAGCUUCUUUAAUUCCUCAUCGGAAAUUAUCACACUGAUCAAUCUGUUUGAUUUGCCAAAGAACGAGUCAGUUUCUUUUUUUGUUGUUCUUGGGAAACGCGUUAAGAGGAUUAAAUGCUGCUGGAUUCACGUGGAGGAGUUAUUAUUACUGUUAUUAUCGCUAUUAAUGAUAGUCUGAUGAUGGCGACAGUUUAUGGAUUCAACACUGCAGCUGUGAAUCGUCCCGCUGGAUAUGAGGAAAUACUGUCUCUCACACGGGAUGAGUGUUGUCCAAUAGUCCCACUGCCCAAGUCCUUCUGCUGGACAAGCCGUUUGGCGGACAGACGAGUCUCUUGGGAUACUUAACGCGUGUGGCCGGUGUCACGGAUGGCCAACACCGUGAUAUGGUUUUGGAAAUCGAUAUUCGUUGGAUGGAGGAUUUCGGCACCUGCAUAGGAAUAUCCUGGAAUAUAUUUUUUAAAAAAGCGAUGCUCAGCAGAUGCCCAGCAAUUUGGGUAAUGACAAUAACAGGCCUACUCAUCUCCUCAGCAGUCCCAUUUUUCCAUCAUCCGAGCACUUGCUGAAAAAGCAUUUGCUGUCUUGGAUCCAUCAUGCUCUUUCUCUGGAAAUAACUUCAGUGAAGGAAUCGAAAAUCUUGGAAUGAGAUGUCAACCUUAUAUUACUUCCCAGGGAUCUGCUGAUGAUCUCAGAUCCGAGAAGAGGCUGACUAAUGGAAACAUGAUCUCAAGAGAUUCAACAGGAUCAGACUAAAUCCUGGUUUGGACUGUGGACCAGCAUCCCCUGCAGCAGAUGUUUGUUCCUGGCAUGGCUGCGAACAGCAUGACCUCCAUCACUGACAACCUCACUUGAAAGAUCCAACACCAGCAGCGUGGACUUUGAGAAGCUGUGACAUAAACUCAGCGAGACAGUAGAGUGUAUUCUGCUGCUCCGGCAUCAUGGAACAGAUCAGUCAAGCCUGUCAGGAGAGGAACUCUCAACAGGAAAGUCAGCUCGAAGGAUAUACGUUUAUUGGAGUUAGCACAAUGCAGCCACACAUUGUUUGACUUUUCUAAAUUGAUCCUGGAUUAAUAUUUUCCUGUAGUAUACAUCUGUUUUUGAUAUUCAGUAUUUAUUCACGCUGUUGCUCAUAUACUGUAGUUCUGACAUAUACUCUACUGUUCUGGAUACAGUAUCAGCAAAUGCUGGAACUGUAGAGGGAAAAUAGUCAGAUAUUAUUUUUAUUUUUACUUUAUUUUUAUUACAGGCUAACAGCUGCUCCUAGACAUGUGCAGUCACAUAAAGUAGUUUAUCUAUUGAAGACAGUGUGAAAUUAAUUAAUACAUAGGUAAUAAAAAUUGCUUAAGGGAUCACUCAAUCAAAUGGAACUCUAAUGUUAUCUUUUGGCAUCUUAAUUGCAAAGACAAAGAAGCCCUUGUAAUCAAGGAGCUGAUGAAUAAGAUCCCAAAAAUGUUCUUAUUGACACCUUCACAUUUCUUUGUGACACAUUGGCAGCCUGUGUUAAUAUUGAUUAAUAAUUCUGUCAAGGUGUUUAGUCUAAUGAUGAUUUACAGCCCCAUAAGUUUUGUCAUGUCACUGAAGCACUUUUGCUUUGAAUAAAUAAUAAUAAUAAAAAAAAAAAAUCCAAGCUGCUG